ACUUUGUAUUUUUCUUUUAUUACAAUUUUUCUUUUUCCUCUUGUCUUUAAGAAACAUUCAAUCAAUAAAAUUGGGUUUCUCCUUUUGGAGGGCUUCUCCACUCUGCUCCUCCUUUUUUUUAUUUGCUUUAUGCCAUGAGAUGCGCCUUGACGCUUUUGUCUCCCGAUGGCAGUGUCCUGCUGAAGCGCUGAAGUCCGCGAUCCAACGUCUGAAGAAGAAGGUUCAUCAUUUAACAAAAAGGUUGAAAGAGAUGGAUGGUGAGCUUCGC
rnacentral:lncRNA from 1 species